GUUACUUCCCAUAAAAAAAAACCCCUUUAAUUUCUCUUAAAAUAAUAUCACCAAUUAUGUUCUAGUAAUCUGGAAAAACCUGGCUUGAAAGCCAUCUAUUCCCGGGGCCUUCCAUGGUUUCAUGUCAAAAAGAGCUUCUUUGCACUUCUAACAAAUUUACAUAGCUCGCUAAAUCCUGUAAUAAAGAGUUAGGAAUAACCAAAAAAUCAUUAUUCAAAGGAAAGGAGUUUGCUGGACAAGGUUCUACUGAAUACAACUUAUAAUAGAAACUGAAAGCCAUAUUCAAAAUAAGUGACUGAUCCUCAAACCAAUUUCUGAAUCAUUCUUGAGAGCCUCAAUCUUGUUAUGCCUUCUCUUAUGAAUGAUUUUUCAAGUGAAAAAAGAGGUACUCAUGUCUCCAUCCACUAACCAGUUAGAUCUCGACUUCUAAUACCACAACAAUUCUUCUCUUUUCAGUAUAACCUCCAAUUCUCUUUUGAGAUUCAACUCUAAUUUCACCAGAGAAGGAUAAUGUCCCAAGUUAAGCUUCCACUGAAAUACCCUCAAUGUGGGCCAUAAGUCUACGUUUUUUAUAGAAAAUAUUAAAAAAAAAAAAUUCAUGAUUUGAUCUUUUGAGUUUACUAGUGAAUCCCAAGAGAGAUGCCAUGAGAGAGUCAUCAUUAUUCCAAUUCUUAGUCACAAAGCUGGUGAAGUCCGAAUGAGAAAGCCAAGCAGCCAUAAACUGGAAGGGAGAGGUAUUGCAAGGCUUCCGUUUAAAUUAAGAUUCAGUAAAAGAGGUCAGCGAUCGAAAAUAAUUCUGCCCGAUGAGAGAGUGUAGCUUCCGAAAAGCUAAGCUGCCAAGGAGAAUCAGAAAGAGCCUGAUCUAAUCUUUCUAGUAGGUUACCUCUUUUCCAGGUGAAUUGAGAUCCUCUAAAACCAAGGUCAAUGAGUUGAGAAUUGUAAUACCAAUUAUUAGCAAUGAUUUUACUAAUUCCUGAACUCUUCUUAGACACCACCCCCCCCCC
rnacentral:lncRNA from 1 species